rnacentral:lncRNA from 1 species
AUGGAGCGCCUGGAUCCCCGACGUUCCCGUGAGCAUGCCGGGGCCGGGCAGGGCGGCUGCAAAGGCGGGGGAGAAAUCUUUGGGAGCCCACAGUUCUCAGCCAGUGCUCCUGAGAAACAAAAGGCGCAGUCUAGCUGCUCUUCCUGCUUUAACCUCUCCGUGCCGACCUCUGCAUUUUCUGCAGCCGGCCCUCGGGCAGGGACAGCCCCACCGUCCGCUCCGGGAGCCGGGAUUCCAAUCCCUGCCCCGUACGGUGCUGCUGAGCUUUGUUUUUUCCCCGCACUCCAUCUAGCGGGGAGCUCCGCAAGCGCUGAGCCUGCAAGUUUGUGCAGGGAAAUGCGGCGGUUCUGCAGACCCGGCGCUGCGGCGGCCGUGCCCCGAGUCCUGCAGCCUCGGGCCCUGGCGCUGAGCGGCAGUGCCGUCCCAGCCCGGACCGAGCUCAGCCAUGUGAGCAUCCCAACCCCUCGUGCCGUGCGUGUCCGGGACGGUACAAAUCCCGUCCGUCCCGGGAGCUGCUCCCGAUGGCCCGGCAGCACCGCGUGUGUCGGGAGAGAGACUUCUGGUAGCUGGAUGGGGCGACCCACGGGCCUGGAGAUGUUCAAGAAACGUGGAGAUCUUAGCAUCAUAGAACCAUUACGGUUGGAAAAGACCGCUAAACCCAACUAUCAGCCCGUUACACCACGCCCGCUACACCGGCGCGGCGCUGCGCUAUGCGCGCUGUCAGCGCUCCGCGGGGAAGGCGGCGAGUGGCCGCCAGGGGGCGCUGCGCGACCGCCGAGCAAAGAGAGGCGACGGCGGAGCGGAGCCGGGGCGCGGAUAGCGGCGCGCUGUGGGGCGGCGGGAUGUGGAGACGGGGCGGCGGCAGCGGCGGGCGGGCGGGAGGACCGACGCCGAGCGGGCCGUCCCGUUCUGCUUUGCCCGCUCCGUCCCGUCCCGUCCCGUCCCGUCCCGUCCCGUCCCGUCCCGUCCCGACCCUCUCCGUCCCGUCCCCCCGCCGAGCGCAGCACGCGCCGGCUCCGACUCGCCAGCCGCUCCGCGCUCUCAUUGGUCGCGCCCCUCCGAGGCUCCACCCCUCCAGCCCUCGGCCGCGCCGCUAUUGGCCGCCUCCUCGCGGCCGGCUCCUCCCCCCGCCGCCUGGCGUACACACCGGAGUCACGCGCCCCUCGGGCUGAGGCCGCGGCAGAGGCCGGCGGCGGAGGGCCGGGCCGAUGGCCACGC